CCGAGUUGUAAUUUGCAGAGGAUGCUUUUGGCGAGGUGCCUUCCGAGUUCCCUGGAACGGGACGCCAUAGAGGGUGAGAGCCCCGUACGGUAGGACCACCGAGCCUCUGUAAAGCUCCUUCGACGAGUCGAGUAGUUUGGGAAUGCUGCUCUAAAUGGGAGGUGUACGUCUUCUAAAGCUAAAUACCGGCCAGAGACCGAUAGCGCACAAGUAGAGUGAUCGAAAGAUGAAAAGCACUUUGAAAAGAGGGUUAAAAAGUACGUGAAAUUGUUGAAAGGGAAGCAUUCAUGACCAGACUUGGGCUUGGUUGAACAUCCGGCGUUCUCGCCGGUGCACUCUGCCAGUCCAGGCCAGCAUCAGUUUGCCCCGGGGGAUAAAGGCGGUGGGAAUGUGGCACCCUCCGGGGUGUGUUAUAGCCCGCCGUGUAAUGCCCUGGGGCGGACUGAGGAACGCGCUUCGGCACGGAUGCUGGCGUAAUGGUCAUCAAUGACCCGUCUUGAAACACGGACCAAGGAGUCGUCUUCGUAUGCGAGUGUUCGGGUGUCAAACCCCUACGCGUAAUGAAAGUGAACGUAGGUGAGAGCUUCGGCGCAUCACCGACCGAUCCUGAUGUUCUCGGAUGGAUUUGAGUAAGAGCAUACGGGGCCGGACCCGAAAGAAGGUGAACUAUGCCUGUAUAGGGUGAAGCCAGAGGAAACUCUGGUGGAGGCUCGCAGCGGUUCUGACGUGCAAAUCGAUCGUCAAAUAUGGGCAUGGGGGCGAAAGACUAAUCGAACCUUCUAGUAGCUGGUUUCCGCCGAAGUUUCCCUCAGGAUAGCAGUGUUGAACUCAGUUUUAUGAGGUAAAGCGAAUGAUUAGGGACCCGGGGGCGCUAUUUAGCCUUCAUCCAUUCUCAAACUUUAAAUAUGUAAGAAGCUCUUGUUACUUAAUUGAACGUGGGCAUUCGAAUGUAUCAACACUAGUGGGCCAUUUUUGGUAAGCAGAACUGGCGAUGCGGGAUGAACCGAACGCGAGGUUAAGGUGCCAGAGUAGACGCUCAUCAGACACCACAAAAGGUGUUAGUACAUCUUGACAGCAGGACGGUGGCCAUGGAAGUCGGAAUCCGCUAAGGACUG
rnacentral:rRNA from 1 species